rnacentral:rRNA from 1 species
AUUGAACGCUGGCGGCAGGCUUAACACAUGAAAGUCGAACGGAGUGGGGACGGGUGAGUAACACGUGGGUAACCUCCCAUCAGAGGGGAUAACACUUGGAAACAGGUGCUAAACCGAUACUGAUGGAUGGACCCGCGGUGCAUUAGCUAGUUGGUGAGGUAACGGCUCACCAGGGCCACGAUGCAUAGCCGACCUGGGGGGGUGAUCGGCCACAUUGGGACUGGGACACGGCCCAGACUCCCACGGGAGGCAGCAGUAGGGAAUCUUCGGCAAUGGGCGAAAGUCUGACCGAGCAACGCCGCGGGAGUGAAGAAGGUUUUCGGAUCGUAAAACUCUGUUGUUAGAGAAGCGGUAUCUAACCAGAAAGCCACGGCUAACUACGUGCCAGCAGCCGCGGUAAUUC